AUUGAACGCUGGCGGCAGGCCUAACACAUGCAAGUCGAGCGAGAAAGCCUUCGGGUGAGUACAGCGGCGGACGGGUGAGUAACGCGUGGGAAUCUACCAAGUAGUGGGGGACAACAGUUGGAAACGACUGCUAAUACCGCAUACACCCUAAGGGGAAAAGCAGGGGAUCUUCGGACCUUGCGCUAUUUGAUGAGCCCGCGUUAGAUUAGCUAGAUGGUGGGGUAAAGGCCUACCAUGG
rnacentral:rRNA from 1 species